rnacentral:lncRNA from 1 species
UCUGUUUCUGGUGAGUUCAUCCCCCUCCUCCUCCUCUCUGAUCUGAUCUGCUCUAGCUCUUACCCUCUCCUCUUCUUCCUUCUCUAUCAGAGUGCAUGGGGCGGUUUGAGAUGGCUGCUACUCCCUACAAAUUGCUCCCUACACUGCUUGAUGUUACUAUUCCUCCAUCCAUAGUGAGAGAUGUGUUGUUGCUGCUGCUGUAGGUUGACAUUGUGUGCUCUUGGUGCUGUAGAUUUGAUUAUCUAUAGCUUUUUAGGCUGUUGCUGCUACCUCUGUUGUAUGCUUUGUAUGUUGCUGUUGUUAUUGAUUAUUUGUUUCUAAUAGUCUAAUUGGAGCACACACCGAUGGCUCUGUUUUCAAUUUGCAGAUUUGUCCCCAUCAAGUAAAACACUCUACAUCAGUGUAAUUGCAGCAAGAUUAGACAAUAGUUUGCUCCUUAUCAAUGCUUCACAUAUUGCUUGUGUUUAGGGCACUGCAUUGUUAGGUUCUUGGGAGUAUGGGAUUGUCUAUUUCUCUCUUAUGUACUAUCUAUUCUCGGUGUUGAACAAUGUUUUGGUAUAUGUUCAUCUACUAAUUACCAAAUUGUUUCCUUUCUCAGUGUUCUCCAGUGAUGGAAGGGGUUCUAAUGUUUUUCCAGUCAGGAUGAAAAUAAACUUCCAAAAAUAUGAACCAGGUGACAAUGAUUUUCUUGCAGUAAAUCUCCCUUAUUUGCUACGGUACUUUCGAUGGUUCAGCUACUAACUAAUUAGAUAAUAUCUAUUGUUGAUUUCUUAUUCUAUAAAAGUGCCUUGAGAUGCUCUUGAAAUAACCACAAUCCCAUUGUUUGUCAUAUCAUAAUAUAACAAACUGUCAUAUAUGAAGUUUUUCAUGAUACAAACAUAUAUUUGUUUGUUUGUAGGGCUCAGAUUUUAAAUUUCCAGUGGGUUGCUGACUAUUUCAGUUUUUUCAGCAAUUUGGACGCUCUUGACUGAUAUUGCUAUUAAGCUAUGAAGCAAAGAUAAUUGUUGGUCUCUACAGGAUGAGCCACCAACAUGAAUAAAUCCUUGCAUGUUCUUUUUACCCUUGAAUCAGUUUGCAUUUCCCCCUUAUUGUUGGUACAUUGCUCUGCAACAUUUUAUUCCUAUUAUACCAUGGCUACUUUAGUUGUAAGAGAUGCAUGCUUACAAAGUUUAAUUAUAUAUGUUCCGUAAAUAGGUUGCUUUCUAAAACACGUGCUGCAUAUACAAGGUUGAUCUCCAGGUCUAGCCAUGAGUCACUUUGUUGAUAGGUGUAUGCUUUUACGUAUUUUUAAAAUGAAAAUAGUCAUGGCGAAGUGUCUAAUCUUAGGUAUUUACAUACGGUUGAACCAUCGAUAUGAGAACUUUUUUGUAUUGCUUUCUUUUAGCUCUGUCCAUGGUGCUCUCAUGGAUGUAUUUAUACCUUUGCACAGCGGUGACACCUCUCCACGUAUACAUGUCCAAAAAUAUAUUUUAUGGAAAAUUGGAGAUCCGGUUGAAUCUGACCAAGUAAUCACUUUUCUCGCAGACUCUGCCUCUAUCCCAGUAAUUCUUUAACAAGUAUUCUUCUUCUUUUCUCAACCUCUUGCAUGCAAUUUCAGGUCACUCCAUCUAUCCGUGGAAUAUACAUGUUUGUAGCAUAUUUUGUGAUAUUUUGAACUUUUUUUUUCCAAGAUUAUUAUUGUACAUUUGUCUGUUUAACUUCCUGGAUGGCCUAAUUAUGAGCUUGCGGAUGCUCAAGAAAUCUCAAAGAUCUGUUUGGUGGUCUACAAACGUGUUUCUGUUUUUACAGUGAUAGACAAACUUUUAAUCGUGCCGGCCAAGUAUAGUUCUAGGAUCAAUGCUUAUAGUUUGUUGUCAACUACUUCCACUGAUGGAUGAUAUAUUUAUAUAGAUUGUGAGCAUUUUGGCAGGCCCAUCGCUCAGUAAAUAUACCAUAGACUGGACUGGUGGAUUGAGUAUAGUUGAUCAAUACAUAUUCUGUUAGACAUAUGUAUGUUUUUUAAAUCGGCCAUGUGACUGCUUGCUACCGGCUUGAAUUGACCCACUCCUACAUAUGAAAUUGUAAUUUGUUGACACACACUUAAAUAAGCAACCACAAUCUGUCCUAAAGGUGACAACCCUAUCUGUUUAGUGGAGUAACGGUUGAUGAUAUCUCUGUUUUGCUGAAAAGUCGCAUGUAAAAAUAAUGUUCAAUAACCAAUACCCGACCCCUGUCGAUUUAUUUCCAGUGGCCAUUUCCUAAAAUUCCAGGAGGGAGAGGGCGCUCUUCCAUCCACGCUGCUACGAAAGUGGAAUUAGGCUAUCGAAACUUGCUUUAUGGAGUAGUAUCAUCACGAAACCUUGCCUUUUCCUAUUCUAUUCGAUUGCUUACCCUGUUUCUGUGACAAAGGCCUGUAAUAGAUAUGAUUAGGCACAUAUUGAGUGUCCAAUAUCAUAAAUAUUGAGCAUACAAUUUCAAUUUCAACUUAAACAUACAAUCUGCUCUUUCUUCUUAAUAUAUAGAGGAGGGUAAUCAUAUAUUGUCUGUUUGAUAUUUGCAUGUAGUUAUUAUUUCAUAAAGGCCUAGCUAUGUUUGACCUUCUGUUAUAUCUGGACAUCUUGCUUCUAAAUUUCAUUCCAGAGAUAUGCUAAUAUUUCAUUUAGAUUGGUUGUCUUAGGAAAUGAUAAAAUGCAUUCUCUGUUUGUUCUAUCUUUCCCUGUUUUUGCCAUCUUCAGUAUUUGUUGUUUGUUCAUAAGUGUAACUUUUUGUCGUCGUUAGAGAGAGAGAGAGUGAUGUGAUGAGAGAUGAUGAGAGAGAGAGAGCGAUGUGAUGAGAGAUGAUCAUGUUUACAUUUUACAGCAAAAAAUGUUUCUUUGUUGAUCGGUUUUGCUCGAGGUAAAAAAUUCUACCUCCCUUUUUUGUUUCCAAUUAAGUCAUCUUUGCAAAUUUAUGUUGUGCAUGUACACACGUUUUUUUUUAAACUGCAUGAGAAAAGUUACCAGUAGAUAAGUUACAGAUCUGCCAUGAAUCCUAUUGUCCUUGCAGACCUACAUCAGCAAACUUUCGAUUACGUAUAUUCUUAUUGUUUGUUCAGUUGGCAUACUGCAUUGGUUAGGUUAUAGUCCAUGUGUGUAAGUCUUGAUAGCAUGAGCUUAUGUUGAGGGCACUUUGAUCAGGUGGCACUGCACACCUCAAAUCACGGCAAGUUUGUUCUUCACCUAUACAGUACUGUCACAGUCACCCGGCCAGAACUUGAAAAUUGAACCAGAGAGUAGUACUUUCUUAGGGAGCUAGGUCAAUGUUGUAUAAAAGGAGAUUUAUGAGAUUUCAGUCUUGAAAAAUUUAAAGGUUUAUCUAUAUCUGCUGCAAGGCUUGGAUUGCCAUAUAAGGCCGAAUUCAGCAUGUAAGAAAGCAGAAUAAUUCAUUGAUAGUGUCACGGUUUGAUCCAGCUCGAUGGCAAGCUCCUCUGCCCUCCCAGAGCCCGGUGAUGAUUUGUACGGUCAGUCCUCCCCGCACGAUGGUGGGCGAAGGAGGUGCACGUCUCCGACGAGUUUGUCGUGCCUCCCUCUGGUUCCGUGAUGGCCGACGGCGAGGUGCCCACCGGUGAGCUUUUUUCCUUGGUUGCCUUGUUGUUACUGUUAUUCGGUUUGUGAUGCUCUGCUGCUCAUCUAGGUUGAUGGUGGAGCUGCGAACCAAAGUUGGAGCAUACCCUUUCGUUGGUGCUGUCAUUCUCUCCUCCACGACCGUUGUUGUCACGAGCCCAAGUCGCUUGGUUGGAUAUCAACGGCGUUGGUGGACCUAAUAGGUGUGUCUCUUUCUCUGAAAAGAAAAGCACAACGAGUUAUCUAUAUUUUGUCUGUAUGUAGUUCUAUACUUUUUCUACUAAUUUCCAAGUCCCGAUGGCCAUAAAUAAGACUGUGUUUUUGGGUGAUACACCUAUAGUAAUCAAGGACCAGUACUAACUAAAGAUGAAUAAAAAUACUGUACAGAACAAAAUAGGAAAGAGGUGGUCAUGAAGAUGUCAUGAUAGAUCAGAAUCAUGAUCAGUUAUUUAGUUGUUCCUCAAAUAGCAUCGCAUGUAAAUGAAUCUUAAUAUAUUGAAGUUCUGUUUUUACCAGAGUAGGGUAUGCCCUGUUCAAAUAAUAAUGAAAAAUGUUGUUAUCUCUUAAAGUAAUAAUAGCCUCGCUUAGUUCUUUUUGUUCUGCUUGAAAUUUCAGCAACAAAGAGAUUAUGUUAUAUCGUUUUGGUGGGCGGGUGAGCUAAUUUGGCAAUUUUCCUCUUUGGUUUAUGCAGAAAUUGGAUGCUUCAAAGGAUUUGAAGGGAGUUUAUUGUAGGUGAGUGUGACAAUCUGCAGCCUCACAUGCAUCAUUAGCUUCCCUUAUCCUGCAACAGGUAUUUUUCAUGUUUUGUAUCUUGCUAGGUUCAAUUAUUUCUUGGCUUAGAGCAGCGACGCAAGUAGAGAGAGAGAGAGAGAGAGAGAGAGAGAGGCCGUUUCCUAGACUGCAGCUCCUCCCAUCAUCUUGGCUUGCAGGUCGCCAUUGUGACAGAGCCGGACGGGAUCUCGGGCCAGCCUGACACCUAGCUUCCGGUCCAGUGUGUUGCCAAAUUAGCCCCCUAGCUAUAAAGGUUUCAAUACUUCAGCUCAUGCAUGUCAUCAUUUUGUUAAUGUGUCAAAGUAAAGAGAAAAUUGAUGCAUUGAAUUAUUAAUGAAGUGGUUUGGAUGCGAACUGAAAUCUUUCACUUUGAAGGCUGGAGAUUUUUAUGAACUGUGAGUAUUCAUAGAGAUAUUCAGUUUAUAUGAAGCAAAAGAAAGGCACAUAGUAUCUUUACAUUGACAAUGUGAUUUUUAACCCAUUGUGAUACUGAAAACCUGAUAAAGAAUAUAUUUUAUGACUGAAUGUUUGAUGUGGGCUGGAAGAAUUUCAGUUUUGUUUUGUACAUGAAUCUUCUAUGUAGUCAUGGUACUGAAUGUCCUGACAUAUACCAGUAUGUUCUGUUUAUCUCCUACAACUAGUGAAAUGGUCUGUAUGUAAAGUAUUUAUGUUUAGUUAUAUUAUGUUGCCGGCGAUGCGUGGUUCUGGAACAUGAAGAUUAACAUUGUAGCUUUUGGUAUCUUGAAUUCUUAUGCUUUGUUAUUAACUUGAUGUGAACCAGUUUUUUCUAUUUGGUAUUGCCAUUGGCUUGCUUUCAGUGUCGUAUAACUAAACUCUUUUGGUUGAACUGGACGUGGAUUAAUUGUCCUGCCUUGCUUUUGGAACAAAGUAAAUGUAUCUUCUUUUUCAUGAGCUUGCAGAUCAAUUAUUCUAUAGAUACUAAUACAUUCAUUAGUUCCGAACAAGUACUAUAAUUUCCGAUGUACCAAAUGAUUAACACUACAGUGAAAUCUUACACGCUGGACCAAUUCGAUGUUUCUUCUUUCUCUUAAACUAGAAAAAAUCAUUGUCCUGUUAAAUACGUAUGCUAAACCAGGUUUCCUACUAACACAUCAUAUCAUUUGAUCAUUACCUUCUUGACCACAUCGUUGGGACAUGCACAGGUUCAUGUAAAGUGGUGCCUAUGAAGAUCAUCAACAAGGCAGUUGAGUGGAGUCACUUGUUAGUAUGAAGUGGCGCCUAUGAUGCAGAGGCAGGGGCAAACCCCCUUUUUGAAAAGAAAAAAAAUGAUGUUGAUCGACAAGGCAGUUGAGUGAAGCCACUUAUUAGUAUGCUUAGUAGUUGUGGCUUUGUGGUUGUCUCUCCUUUGCUAUGUUCAUGCUCUUAUUACCCCCUCUCUUAUAUCCACACUUGUGGUAUUCGGGUGGCUAUCUUUUGUGGUCUUAUGAACACACUGAAACCAAUUCUACCUUAUAAUCUUAAGCUGAUACUGAGCCCAUGUCUUGCUUAUAUAAUAGUUGAAUGUUUCUUCUUCACUUUAUUGUUAUUAUGUAUGAAUGCAUAUGCUAAAUUUGGGUCACUAUUGACUUAGCAUUACAUGUUUGAUCAAAACGUUGGGACCGGCACCCUCGCGCCUUGGCGCGAUCCCGAUCUAGUACUUCAGAAUUCCAGGUAGUUCCAACUACAGAACUGCUUGUAGUACUUUUUCUCAGAAAUAUGCCCGAUAG